ensembl:rRNA 5S_rRNA 5S ribosomal RNA
AGUCUGCACCACACCACCCUGAAUGCACUUGAUCUCACCUGAAUGCACUUGAUCUCAGAAGCUAAGCAGGGUCAGGUCUGAUUAGUACUUGGAUGGGAGUCUAUUAACCAAAUUCACCAACACUA